UGGGGAAUAUUGCACAAUGGGCGCAAGCCUGAUGCAGCCAUGCCGCGUGUGUGAAGAAGGCCUUCGGGUUGUAAAGCACUUUCAGCGAGGAGGAAGGGUAGUGUGUUAAUAGCACAUUGCAUUGACGUUACUCGCAGAAGAAGCACCGGCUAACUCCGUGCCAGCAGCCGCGGUAAUACGGAGGGUGCAAUCGUUAAUCGGAAUUACUGGGCGUAAAGCGCACGCAGGCGGUUUGUUAAGUCAGAUGUGAAAUCCCCGCGCUUAACGUGGGAACUGCAUUUGAAACUGGCAAGCUAGAGUCUUGUAGAGGGGGGUAGAAUUCCAGGUGUAGCGGUGAAAUGCGUAGAGAUCUGGAGGAAUACCGGUGGCGAAGGCGGCCCCCUGGACAAAGACUGACGCUCAGGUGCGAAAGCGUGGGGAGCAAACA
rnacentral:rRNA from 1 species